rnacentral:rRNA from 1 species
AAAAACAUGUCUNUGCGGUGUUUAUGUGAAGUCUAACCUGCCCAGUGAUAGUUAAUUUAACGGCCGCGGUAUACUGACCGUGCGAAGGUAGCAUAAUAAUUUGUUCUUUAAUUGAGGACUAGUAUGAAUGGUUGAACAAAAAGCUAACUGUCUCUAAAAUAAAUCUUGAAAUUAACGUUUAAGUGAAAAGGCUUAAAUGCUUUAAGGGGACGAUAAGACCCUAUAAAUCUUUAUAUUUGGAGUUUGUUAAUUUGAAAAGUAAAAUUAAAAUUUUAAUUUAAUGAAUUUAAAUAUUUUGUUGGGGAGACAGGAGUAUAAAAAAUAACUGCUUUAAAAUUUGAGUUAAUAAUAUUUAAUUAAGUGAUCCUUUAUUAUGGAUUUUAGAUUAAGUUACUUUAGGGAUAACAGCAUAAUUUCUUUUGAGAGUUCAUAUCGAAAAAGAAGGUUGUGACCUCGAUGUUGAAUUAAAGAUCCUUUAUGGUGCAGAAGUUAUAAGAGGAGGUCUGUUCGACCUUUAAAUCUUUACGUGAUC